GAACGCACCUUGCACUCUUUGGUAUUCCGAAGAGUAUGUCUGUUUGAGUGUCAUGAAACUCUCAACCCCCUUGUUUUGUAAUGAAACGAGUGUGGGCUUGGAUUAUGGCUGCUGCCGGCGUUAUUGUCGACUCGGCUGAAAUAUACGAGCUACCCAUUUCUAAGAAAUAGACGGUUUGACUCGGCGUAAUAACAUAUUUCGCUGAGGACGUCACAUUCUUUAACAUUAGUGGUGCUUCUAAUGCGACAUCUAAACCUAAGCUUUAGACCUCAAAUCGAGUAGGACUACCCGCUGAACUUA
rnacentral:misc_RNA from 1 species